UUCCCAGACUCCUACGGGAGGCAGCAGUGGGGAAUAUUGCACAAUGGGGGGAACCCUGAUGCAGCGAUGCCGCGUGGAGGAAGAAGGUUUUCGGAUUGUAAACUCCUUUUAUCAGGGACGAUAAUGACGGUACCUGAAGAAAAAGCUCCGGCUAACUACGUGCCAGCAGCCGCGGUAAUACGUAGGGGGCAAGCGUUAUCCGGAAUUACUGGGUGUAAAGGGAGCGUAGACGGUGAAGUAAGUCUGGAGUGAAAGGCGGGGGCCCAACCCCCGGACUGCUCUGGAAACUAUUUGACUGGAGUGCAGGAGAGGUAAGCGGAAUUCCUAGUGUAGCGGUGAAAUGCGUAGAUAUUAGGAGGAACACCAGUGGCGAAGGCGGCUUACUGGACUGUAACUGACGUUGAGGCUCGAAAGCGUGGGGAGCAAACAGGAUUAGAUACCCGAGUA
rnacentral:rRNA from 1 species